rnacentral:lncRNA from 1 species
UUCGAGAAGCACCCCUUAUUUGUGCCAACAGGACUUCGAAAUCAAAAGGGCCAUUUUUUUUGGUAAGGAUGUAAAUUAUGUUGGUGUUAUUUAUAUGGAUAUGUAUAUAUAUAUAUAUAUGCAUGUGAGCAUAAGAAGUAUGUUAUUUGAUUGUUGUUGAAAGAUGAUUGGAAAUGAUGUUGGAUUAUUCUUGUGCAUGGUUGGAUUAUGUUAAAUUGUGAAGGAAUUUGGGGUGAUGAUGUGGUAUUGAUGAUGUGGUAUUGAGAUGAUGAUUAUAUACAUAUACACACAUAAACCUAUUGUUCAAGUUGGUUUUUGGAAUGUUUUGCAAAUAUUGGUAGUAUGGAAUUAUGGAAGAGAAUUGUGGUGUUGGGUUGCUAAUACUAGAUGCCAAACAUUUCAUUGUAGAUAAGUGAUUUGUAAAGGCGGGAAGUUGUGUUGAAUUGGUAUCUGAAUCUACAACGAGGUAUGUAAAGCAUACUCUAACAAUGUUCUUUGGCAUGAAAACACCAAUGUUCCAUCAAGUAAGAUUCCGAGGUUGUCCAAAAACAUGUAUUGUUCUACGUUACCAACGAAGUUGUUUCCAUCCUAUAAAGUGUCAAAAUGUUCAUUGAUAUACCAAAAGGCUCUUAUUUCAUUGUUGUGAUAUUGAUGAUUCUGAAACAUAUUGUUGAUGUACCAAUGAGUCCUUAUUACAUCGUUAUUGUAUAGAAGGUCUAUUACUUGGUUCCUAUUGAUGUAUCAUUGUUUCAAGGUAUCAAAAAUGUGGUGACGACCGAAAUAACAAUCUCAAAGAUUAAUUGAACUAAGUGAUGAAAGUUCUCUCUUAUCGGGUGGUAUCCCAGGGGCAUAAGCCUAGCAUGGGUCGAUCCCUAUUUCAUGUGUUUAUGGGUGGUAUCCCAGGGGCAUAAGCCUAGCAUGGGUCGAUCCCAGUUGAUAUGUACUGGAGGCAUCCUAAUGGUCACAGUACAGUACAGUAAUGAUUACAAAGACGAUAAGAACGAAGGUAAAGUGAUUGAAUAAAUACAAUGUACAGGUUGUCACAAGUUCUAGUAAGUGUGGUCCACUCCUAUUACGACUUAUUCACUUGUUUCUGAUUUCUAUUGAGCUCCUAUAUCAUAUGUGAUUAUUUACAGCUUUACAUACUCAGUACAUAUUUCGUACUGACGUCCCUCACGGGUGACCUGCAUUUCAUGCUGCAGGCACAGGUACCUCAACUCAUACACCGCACAAGUAGGAGCCAGGUCAUACAGCUAUUGUUGGUGAGCUCCAGUUUGCUUCGGAGCUUUCCGAGUCGGUUCCUUAUGUUUUGUUAUUUUACAUGAGUCACGUGUGGGCGGGGGUUUGUCCCGACCCUAGUUAUGUCAUGUAUAUCCUAGAGGCUUUGUAGACAUAAGGAAGGGUAAAGUCAUGGAAGUUUAUAUAGUAACGUUAUAUUUGUAUAUGUGGUGGCCCCGACGGCCAAGUAUUAUAUAUAUAUAUUUGUGCGUGUUGUG